UGGGGAAUUUUGGACAAUGGGCGAAAGCCUGAUCCAGCAAUGCCGCGUGUGUGAAGAAGGCCUUCGGGUUGUAAAGCACUUUUGUCCGGAAAGAAAUCCUUGGCUCUAAUACAGUCGGGGGAUGACGGUACCGGAAGAAUAAGCACCGACUAACUACGUGCCAGCAGCCGCGGUAAUACGUAGGGUGCAAGCGUUAAUCGGAAUUACUGGGCGUAAAGCGUGCGCAGGCGGUUUGCUAAGACCGAUGUGAAAUCCCCGGGCUCAACCUGGGAACUGCAUUGGUGACUGGCAGGCUAGAGUAUGGCAGAGGGGGGUAGAAUUCCACGUGUAGCAGUGAAAUGCGUAGAGAUGUGGAGGAAUACCGAUGGCGAAGGCAGCCCCCUGGGCCAAUACUGACGCUCAUGCACGAAAGCGUGGGGAGCAAACAGGAUUAGAUACCCUGGUAGUCCACGCCCUAAAACGAUGUCAACUAGUUGUUGGGGAUUCAUUUCCUUAGUAACGUAGCUAACGCGUGAAGUUGACCGCCUGGGGAGUACGGUCGCAAGAUUAAAACUCAAAUGAAUUGACGGGGU
rnacentral:rRNA from 1 species